CUGGCCCACUCAGGACAUGAUAAUUGACAGACAACAGUGCCACCUUUGGGUAUGACUGAGAACUACAGCUGCUGCAGAGCUGCUGGUGCAGUGAUGCAGAGUAUGACCAGCCUGUAGAUGUUUAUCAUCCUGUUCUACUGCUUCAUGUCCUGGCAGAGAGUAUUAGUCACAAUAAGUUGUGGUAAUACUGGACCUUCCUAAACCCUCAGGGACCCUUCUCCCUGGCCAAGUCUUUCCUGGAGGACUGACUGACAACUACGGUCGACUGUUUGUGUCCGUCCAUGGGAAAUGGGGCGGCGUCGCUGCAGCGACAGUCCUGAGGCCAUCCAUCAGUGUCAUGGCGGGCGGCGUGUAAGGGGUCUAUGGCCUGUCUCUCCCUCCCUUGCAACGCCCUUCCAGUGUACACGUCAACCGCAGGGAUAAAAGAAGUGAAAAUGGAAGAGAAUAUGGUACUGGACUCCUUUUUGAUGCUGAAACACUUUCCACUCUACAGUGAAGAAUUUCUACAAGAUCACAUAGAGUGUAGAAGAUAAUUAUUUCAUCCCUUACUGAAUUUGUAAGUUUACCCCCUUACAAAGACAUGAAGUCUAUAAUUGUUUUGGUAUUUGUUUUAUUUUGGGAGAGAGAAAAAUAAUGUCACAUAAACUCUGAAUUUUUUUUUUAUUAUUUCGGUAUCAAUUAGGGCUGUCUAAUGAUUAAAACUUUGAAUCAAAUGAAUUACAUUUGUCAAAUAAGUUGACCAUGAUUAAUAACCAUUUGUCGCUAUGUGUGAAAUAUGCCCAUUUUUGUUGUAUUGUAUGAAGAGAAAAACAAAUGCAUUUGUAUGUAUUCACAGCUUCAAAUGAACUGAAAAUUUCCAUCAAGCUAAAAGAUACCACACAUCUGAAAAUGUAUUUGCCGUACACUAGUCUCUUUAAUAGCAGCAGAACAUUUGAAACACUCUUUAACCGUGUUAUUUAAGCCAUGAAGGGUUGCGUUCAAAGACAACACGUCAUUUAAUUUUAAUUCAAUAUUUUGAGUGUACUUUGAAGGAUUUUUCCGAGCAGACUUAAAUGCAGCAAAUUGUACUUCCGCAUUAAGAGUUGCAAAGUGAGUGAUAAGAAUAUCUACGUAUUGGUUUUGUUUGUAUUUCUGUUUAUUUAGACCACACAUACACGCAUAAUAAAGACCUUGUUGUGAUG